UGUGAGAGGGGGCGGAGCCUCAGGUGGGUCGGGUUCAAGUUCUGCAGAAUCAGGUCCGGUUCUCCAGUCGCUCCGACUCGGUUUGUGUGAACAGAAGGAGAAGCAAAGAUCUGAUCAGAGUUCUUCAGUUUGGACCCCAAAGACGAGGACAAAGGCAAAUAAGAGGAACUGGGGCCUUCUUCCUGCACGGCCAGCCCGCCUACAUCUCAAAGGACCAGUAAGGCCUUGAAACAUGGAGAAGCAAGCUUCAGAGCUUAAAGUCAAGAAGCUGAGGACCGCAACUUGAAUGAGGAAAGACCAGCACCCAGGCCUGCUACCUCAACAUCCAUGCAGAGAUGAAAGCUGCCUUCAUCGAUCAGUGCCGUGAGCCUCCUCCUACUGAAACACGUUCUUCUUCAUCAGGCCGGUUCUGGGGUUUGAAAUUUCAUACUCCAUCUCUCAAAGGUUCCUCUUUAGUUUCAGUUUCAGCAUUAGGGUUGGAUUAAGAUGAUUGAUUUUUCUUAUUUGAUUAUUUUUGCUACUGAAUUAAGCUGUACUGACGCUCGCAAAAUUGCCUUACUAAUAAAAUA